AACGAACGCUGGCGGCAGGCUUAACACAUGCAAGUCGAGCGCCCCGCAAGGGGAGCGGCAGACGGGUGAGUAACGCGUGGGAAUGUACUUUUUGGUUCGGAACAACUCCGGGAAACUGGAGCUAAUACCGGAUAAGCCCUAACGGGGAAAGAUUUAUCGCCGAAAGAUCGGCCCGCGUCUGAUUAGCUAGUUGGUGAGGUAACGGCUCACCAAGGCGACGAUCAGUAGCUGGUCUGAGAGGAUGAUCAGCCACACUGGGACUGAGACACGGCCCAGACUCCUACGGGAGGCAGCAGUGGGGAAUAUUGGACAAUGGGCGCAAGCCUGAUCCAGCCAUGCCGCGUGAGUGAUGAAGGCCUUAGGGUUGUAAAGCUCUUUUGUCCGGGAAGAUAAUGACUGUACCGGAAGAAUAAGCCCCGGCUAACUUCGUG
rnacentral:rRNA from 1 species